ACGUGUGCUACUUCCGAUAUCACAGUCUUUAUAGACUGGACAACACAAGUAGUUCUAUCAUUUAAGUGUGUAUAACAAAAGCCAUCAAAGCAGUUAUUUGAGA